UACGUAGGGUGCGAGCGUUGUCCGGAAUUAUUGGGCGUAAAGAGCUUGUAGGCGGUCUGUCGCGUCUGCUGUGAAAAUCCGGGGCUCAACCCCGGACUUGCAGUGGGUACGGGCAGACUAGAGUGAUGUAGGGGAGACUGGAAUUCCUGGUGUAGCGGUGAAAUGCGCAGAUAUCAGGAGGAACACCGGUGGCGAAGGCGGGUCUCUGGGCCGAUACUGACGCUGAGGAGCGAAAGCGUGGGGAGCGAACAGG
rnacentral:rRNA from 1 species